rnacentral:rRNA from 1 species
AAUAAAUGCUGGCGGCGUGCCUAACACAUGCAAGUCGAGCGAGAAAGCUCCUUCGGGAGCAAGUACAGCGGCAGACGGGUGAGUAACACGUGAGAAUUUACCCUUUAGUGAAGAAUACCUCUGGGAAACCAGAGUUAAUACUGCAUACGUUUCUACGGAAAGAAAGGUGGCCUCCUUGCUGCCGCUAAAGGAUAAGCUUGCGGGCUAUUAGCUAGUUGGUGAGGUAAUGGCUCACCAAGGCGAUGAUGGCUAGCCGGCCUGAGAGGGUGUACGGCCACACUGGAACUUAGACACGGUCCAGACUCCUACGGGAGGCAGCAGUGAGGAAUAUUGCGCAAUGGGCGAAAGCCUGACGCAGCGACGCCGCGUGGAGGAUGAAGGUUUUCGGAUUGUAAACUCCUGUUAAGUGGGAAGAAAGAAUCACCUUUAAUACGGGUGAGAGAUGACGGUACCAUUAGAGAAAGCACCGGCUAACUUCGCGCCAGCAGCCGCGGUAAUAC